CGGCGAGGUGGCGCGGCUGCGCGGCGACCUCGCCGAGGCGCGGCGGCUGUACGAGACGGCCCUCACCGGCC
rnacentral:tRNA from 1 species